GUAGAUAUAGUCUGAUGAGGAGCUGCAGAGCAGCUAAAAAUUUUGAAAACAGGAGGGAAGAAAAAUUGUCUAAAAGAAGCCAUGAGGAGCAAGUGCCUCAACUCAACUUCAAGGACCUGUUCUAUGGGAGCCGGGAGAAAAAAGCAGUCACCAGUUAGGAGAGAUAUGACAGUAUCUGGAUCCUCAAGUGACGGUAGUACUUCAUCAGCUCAAAAUUUGAAAAAAAAAAACUGGGAUGUUGCUAUGCCAGCAGAUGGGGCCAAGGAAUCCAGCCUCACAG
rnacentral:lncRNA from 1 species